rnacentral:rRNA from 1 species
GACAGAGGGUGCAAACGUUGUUCGGAAUUACUGGGCGUAAAGCGAGUGUAGGCGGUCUUGAAAGUCGGAUGUGAAAGCCCUGGGCUCAACCCAGGAAGUGCAUUCGAUACUCCAAGGCUAGAGUACUGGAGAGGAGAUUGGAAUUUACGGUGUAGCAGUGAAAUGCGUAGAUAUCGUAAGGAAGACCAGUGGCGAAGGCGAAUCUCUGGACAGUUACUGACACUGAGGCACGAAAGCCAGGGGAGCAAACGGG